rnacentral:misc_RNA from 1 species
CUCUCUCUGUGCCUCUGCGGUCUGCCAUAUGGCCAUGCCUCAACAUGGGUCAUUGACUGCGCCUCUUAUCGUUGAUGAGAAGGAACAAAGUUUAAGACAUGAAGAUUUAGAGUCUAAUUACACUCAUUAUAGCAAAGGAACAACCUCUUCCUUCAAGACCAUUGUCAAUGGAUUGAAUGCUUUGUCAGGAGUUGGUAUACUUUCGACCCCAUAUGCAGUAUCAUCAGGAGGAUGGCUGAGCUUGAUCCUUCUCUUUAUAAUUGCCAUUGCAGCCUUUUACUCAGGUUUACUGAUUAAAAGGUGUAUGGAAGCGGAUUCAAAUAUCAGAACUUAUCCUGACAUAGGUCAUCGUGCUUUUGGAAACAAAGGAAGAGUUUUGAUAUCAAUUUUCAUGUAUAUGGAGCUCUACUUAGUCGCCACUGGUUUCCUGAUUCUAGAGGGGGAUAACUUGCAUAACUUGUUUCCUAGCGCGGAACUUGAAAUGGCAGGGUUCCACAUAAGUGGAAGACAAACCUUUGUUAUAAUUGUUGCUC